GGGUUGAAGCCCUCUGGUUUGGGCGUUUAGUUGUUAACUACAUUUUUACGGGAUCGAGGCCCGUCAGCCUAGUG
rnacentral:tRNA from 1 species